rnacentral:rRNA from 1 species
AAAUUUUCAACGAUGGAUAUCUUGGUUCCCGUAACGAUGAAGAACGCAGCGAAGUGCGAUAAGCAAUGCGAAUUGCAGAACCGUGAGUCAUCAGAUUUUUGAACGCAACUGGCGCCGAUUGGCAUCCCAGUCGGCAUGCUUGUUUCAGUG